CAGGGGAGGCGGCUCCGGGUCGCGGCGCUUGCGUGCAUAGCGGUGGGGCUGUGGGGCGGGCGCGCAUGCGCGGCGGGCAGGGUGUGCGUUCCGCGGGGCGCGGUCUGCGCGUAGGGCUGCGGCGCCAUGUUCCGCCGUCCUCCUCGUAAUUUCCGCGGCCGGCGGCGUGCGGCCUCCAGCGGCAGCAGUAGCGAUGAAGAGCCGGACCAGGCUGCCGCCCCACCGUCAGCUCUCGGUCCCAGUUCCGACUCCGAGCAGGAAGCGGAGGCCGUGGGGGAGGAGGGGCGCCUCAGCAGUGCCACCGGGAGCCCCGAGGGGACUAGGGCUACCGCAGCGGAGGGGCCGCCGUGCCCAGAGGACCCGGCGGGCAGCCCUGAUGGAGGGGCAGCUUCGGAGCCCGGGCCACGUCUGGCCGGAACUGGAUCGGCGCUGGGUGGGAAGGUGCUGCUGAGCUUUGGUAGUGAGGACGAACGGGAAGGUGAUGAAGAACUUUUUAAAAUCAAGAAACCAUCCUUCAAUGAAGUGACCUUUAGACUUCAGAAGAAGGAAAGCCAACCACAUUCACAGAUAGAAACAGAAGAAAGCAAAAAAAUCUGCCAGUCAGAGCCUAGAACAGGCAACACAAAAGGCACUUGUAAAGAAGAAGAGGAGGAGGAUGAAAGUUAUUCUUCACUUAGUCAGGACUACAACAGCUCAGACUCAGAAAAUGAAUCCAGCUACCUACAGAGGAGGAAGGAUUUAUCACCAGGUAAUAUCCCCAGCACAGCUUGCAUUGAGGCUGCUCGGAGGAAGCGUCAUUUAGCCAGGACGCAGGCUGAUUAUCUUCCACUGGAUGCUUCAAACAGUCCUCAGGUCUCUGGGAGAAGAGAAAGCAGCGACUUAGAAAGUGAAGAUGAGUCUGAUGUGAAGAAUGUCAGUUUUGUUCCUAAAAUGAGAACUCUUAGGGAGAGGAUGGCUGAGCACAUGGUGACUGUGAGUGGUGAAUCAAGUGAAGACGAAGCACAAACUAAGUGGGAAGAACAGCAAAUAAAGAAAGCAGUGAAACUCUCUCAGGAAACCUAUGAUGAUGCUUACCUGCAGCAUCCACAUAAAUCUCAACCAGCUAACCCAAAGUUUGAUCUAAGUGUUUCUCUGCCACCUGUGGACUUGGAAAUUGUGAAGAAGCGACUGACAGAGAGGAUAACAUCACUACAGAAUGUGCACCGUGCCCACCAGAGGGAGUAUGAAAAAUAUGUGGAGGACAUAGAGAGUUCAAAAACAACCGUCCAGGAGCUAGAGAAGUCUUCAGAUGCACUUCUGAAUUUCAGAUUCUACAAGGGCAUGAAAAUAUAUGUGGAAAACCUUAUAAACUGUUUGAAUGAAAAACUGAAAUACAUUAAUGAACUGGAAUUGGCCGUACAUGCACUUCUUCAGCAACGAGCCAUAACAGUACUGAAACGAAGACAAGAUGAGCUAAACAAUGAGUCUACUUAUAUUCAGCAUCUGACAAGUGGAAGUGACAAACCAACUAAUGGUGGAUUAGAAGGUGCUGAGAAGACAAAGCUUCUGGAAAUGUGUGAACAUCGAAGGACUGGCAGGUGGCAAAUGAGAGAGCAUUUAGGAGAAGCUAAUCACCAUGAAGGCAUGUCGAGUGAUGAUGAACUGAGUCCAACAGAGGUGAAUGAGUUCCAGAAGAGCAAAGAUAACCUUUUAGAGGAUAGUAGAAAAAUCUUUGAAGAUGUACAUGCAGAUUUUUGUGACAUCAGAAAAAUCCUGUUGAAAUUCCAGGAAUGGAAAGAGAAGUUUCCUGACUCUUACUGUGAUGCUUAUAUCAGUUUCUGCCUGCCUAAGCUAUUAAAUCCAUUGAUUAGAUUUCAGUUAAUAAAUUGGAAUCCUCUUCAGCAGAAUCUUACAGAUUUGGAAGGGAUGUCUUGGUUUAGAGCUAUAGAAGAAUUCAGUGGUGCCAAGACUGUGCCUGAAGGGGAUGCUGCCAAGAACGUGUCUAAAGGGAAUGAUGAUCAAGAAGUUUUGCCUAGAGUGAUUGAAAAAACUAUUCUUCCAAAAAUUACAGCCUUUGUGGAAAACAUGUGGGAUCCUUUAUCUACUUCUCAGACAAAGAAUCUUGUACAGCUUUGCAGUAAUCUCUUUGAAAAACAAGCAGUUUCCAAAAGUGAGCUUGGUCAAGCAAAAAAGGAUUUGAUAAACAUGGUUGUCCUAAGAAUGAAGAAAUCUGUAGAGGAAGAUGUCUUUAUUCCUUUGUAUCCUAAAAGCACUGUGGAAGACAAAUCAUCCCUACGUUCCAGAUUCCAAGAAAGAUGUUUUUGGUCAGCUGUUAAGCUGCUCUCCAAUGUUCUUCUUUGGGAUGGCAUUGUACAAGAAGAUGCACUCCGUGGUUUGGGACUGAACAAACUGCUGAAUCGUUACCUUCUUCUGAACCUCUUAAACACACCACCAGGGCUGGAUCAUAUAGAAAAGUGUAGUAAGGUAAAAGUGGUUGCAUGCUUCCCAGAAAGAUGGUUCCAAGAUCUUAAAAGUGGAUCAACUCUCCCUGAGUUACUCAACUUCUGUCAGCACUUGCUGCAGCGUGCCCGCACACUACACAAGAGUAAUCACAGUGAUGAAACAAAAGAAAUUCUUCUCCUGCUGGUGAAAGUCAAAGCUCUGCAUAUUGUUGAAGACUUCAUUGAAGAGUCUGAUCUCAAAGACCUUAAAUCAAUAAUUGGGAAAUAGACAUUUUUGCAGCAAUGCUUAUAUUACUGAAGUAAGCCUCUCCUCACACUAAAGCAGUUCUAAUAGGAAAUGAAAUUAGUGGUUCCUGCCCACUCAAAGGUGUGGUAAUCACUGUCUUAGUGUUGAGGGUUUUUUCCUAAUGUCUUCUAGUGCCAUCUACUCCCACAUUAAAGGAGUACUUGUACAAGUUACAUUUGUCAAAGUAAAACAGUGGUUCAGGCAUUCUGAAAUGUAUAACAAUGUUUUAUUGGUUUAUCCUUGGAAGGAUUCCUGGAAAGAUAGGAAGUGCUCUGUAAAGUUUAUCACUGCUAGCCAGUAGAUAGCUUUACAAGCUUCUUUCAGUGUUAAUUGCUAAGUAUCACAGUAUCACACAGUAUCACAGUAUCAUCAGGGUUGGAAGAGACCUCACAGAUCAUCAAGUCCAACCCUUUACCA